UACGUAGGGGGCAAGCGUUAUCCGGAUUUACUGGGUGUAAAGGGAGCGCAGGUGGCAAGGCAAGCCAGAAGUGAAAACCCGGGGCUUAACCCCGCGGAUUGCUUUUGGAACUGUCUGGCUGGAGUGCAGGAGGGGCAGGCGGAAUUCCUGGUGUAGCGGUGAAAUGCGUAGAUAUCAGGAGGAACACCGGUGGCGAAGGCGGCCUGCUGGACUGUAACUGACGCUGAGGCUCGAAAGCGUGGGGAGCAAACAGG
rnacentral:rRNA from 1 species